CGGGGUGGAGCAGCCCGGUAGCUCGUCAGGCUCAUAACCUGAAGGUCACAGGUUCAAAUCCUGUCCCCGCAACC
rnacentral:tRNA from 1 species